rnacentral:misc_RNA from 1 species
UUUCCGUAGGUGAACCUGCGGAAGGAUCAUUAACGUGCAAUCCUGCAAACCAAACAAAAACUUAAACGACUGUGAACUUGAAACCCCUUAUACUGUAUGUGAUUAAUGAGUGUGAAAACACUUGUUAAUUGCACACAAUCAACCACAUUCACCUUUAACCCAACAUUCAUUCUAAAACCCUUUAUGUUUCAUUCGUGAAAUGUAAAUAUAUAAAUUGACGACUUUCAACGGUGGAUCUCUAGGCUCGU